GACGAACGCUGGCGGCGUGCUUAACACAUGCAAGUCGAACGGAAAGGCCAUGCUUUUGUGGGGUGCUCGAGUGCCGCGCGGGUGAGUAUCACGUGUGUAACCUGCACUUGUAUUUGGGAUAUCUCCUGGAAACUCCGGCUCUUACAGGAUAGGAGCUCCUGAUGCGCGGUGGGGGUUGGAAAGAUUCGGUGGUUGGGGAAGGACUCGCGGUGUAUUCGCUUGUUGGUAAGGUUGUGGCUUACCAAGGCUACGACGGAUAGCCGACCUGAGAGGGUGAUCGGCCACACUGGAACUGAGACACGGUCCAGACUCCUACGGGAGGCAGCAGUAGGGAAUCUUCCGCAAUGGGCGAAAGCCUGACGGAGCAACGCCGCGUGAGUGAUGAAGGUCUUCGGAUCGUAAAACUCUGUUAUUAGGGAAGAACAUAUGUGUAAGUAACUGUGCACAUCUUGACGGUACCUAAUAAGAAAGCCACGGCUAACUACGUG
rnacentral:rRNA from 1 species